rnacentral:rRNA from 1 species
GACGAACGCUAGCGGCGUGCCUAAGCUAUGCAAGUCGAGCGGGGUUUCAGAGUCGAGUUUCCUUCGGGAGACAAAGCACUGAAACCUAGCGGCGAACGGGUGAGUAACACGUGAGCAACCUACCCUGUUGUCCGGGAUAACAGACCGAAAGGCCUGCUAAUACCGGAUACGAAGCUCCUUCGCAUGUUGGAGCUUGGAAAGGGGCAACCCGCAAUGGGAGGGGCUUACGGCCUAUCAGCUAGUUGGUGAGGUAACGGCCCACCAAGGCGACGACGGGUAGCCGACCUGAGAGGGUGACCGGCCACACUGGGACUGAGACACGGCCCAGACUCCUACGGGAGGCAGCAAGCGGGAAUCUUGCACAAUGGGCGCAAGCCUGAUGCAGCGACGCCGCGUGAGGGAUGAAGGCCUUCGGGUCGUAAACCUCUGUUGAUGGGGACGAAGAUCUGACGGUAC